UUAUAUAUCUAAUAAUUAUAAAUUAAUAUAUAAAUAUAAUUAAUAUAUAAAUAUAUAUAAGUAUGUUAAUAUAUUAUUAUUAAUAUACAUACAUUUACGGAAUGAAAAUAAAAGUUUUUACGAAUUUCAAAGUGCAGAAACGAGUAAUUGAUAUUCUUUUAUAUCAUUAAUUAUAUUAUCAGUGAUUCAUUGCACAGAUAAAAAUUACUAAAUAAAAUUAUUAAAAAAUAUGCCUUUAUUCUAUAUUAAAUAAAUCUCCAUUAUUUUUCUACUAUUUUUCCCUCUAAUCUUCAAUUGUCAUUACAAACUUUCCCAAACAAUCCAAUAUUUCACACUGAUCGGAGGAAAACAAACAUAUCAUAGAGGAAAUGAUAAAAAUUCGGGUUGUCCCAGUUUUGAGAUGAUAGAACAUUUUAAGCUAAGGAGGGCAAUGCAAAGAGGUGCAUAAACACGCGGUUUUUUCAGAGUAAAAUGAUCGAACGCCCGAGGCUGUGUUCAAGGUGUUACUGCUCAUGUACCGCAAAGUUACAUAAAAGUUACAUACUUGGACGAUCACGUUGGCAUACGAUAACGUGUGCAUACAUACCUGAUUUAUCCUCGCACUUAGUUCUUCGCGGUUUGCCGAAAUUAGCACCGCGCAAUCAACCACCGUCCUGUCCAUAAAACGAAGUUACGAAGUUCCAGUUCGCAUAUGACUUUUGCGGUAUCGUUGAUGAUUAAUCACGUGGCCAUACGGUUGCCGUAUUCACGGGAUCACGAUGUUCUUAGCAAAGUACGCGUACCUGCGUACUUUAUGAAUAUUUUCGUAACAAAAAUUUCACAUGUACGAUUAGUUGAAUGACGUUAUUGAAAAAUGAAACGCUUCGGUAAAAGUAAAUUAAUGUAAAAUUGCGGGCUGAUGAAAGAUCAAAUAAAUGUUGAGUUUAUAAAAUAUUCUAAUAUCGCGAGGUAUCUUUAAAUUAAAGAACUUUCUUUUUAUAUUUUUAAUUGAUAUUAGCUCGAUUGUUACAGUAUGAGUCAGAUCGCUGAUAAAUAACUAAUCAAUGAAAAAUUAAUUAGUAAAGAAAUAAACAAUCAUAUUUUCCACUAUUUUAGCAAUUUUAUUGGCCGUGCAAAGGUCAGGGUUGAAGUAUGUUCCGCCUUUCUAUCUGUGGACAGAUAAAUACUCCUAUUUAAUACGCAAACAUAUAUCAUCCACAGUAAGAAGAUGUAUCUACUACCUUCUCCAAGCCAACAUAGCAAAGAAACUACACCCUGCUCGUACAUGUAUGUACUAUACGUACAUGCGUAACAGAUAUCCAUAAACUAUUGAUAACAUUAAUCUUCGCAGAGCACAAUACGAUUUUGAAUACAAUCAGACCACGGCGUAUCUCCUCGCCGUGCUUUAUUGCCCUUUAUAAUUUGCAAAUUCGCGACGUCCGGGAGAGAGGCCAAGAUAUCCGUACUCUCAUCUGUUACCAGCGCAAUAAACUGCCAACUAUAUAUAUAUACAUAUGGCUGUAUCGCUUUUCGAGAUACAAUGUACGGGCGAGAUUGCGGAUUCUCGCAAAACUCGAUGACCACGGAGACAUAGAACGCUACUGAUAAAGUGAUACAAACGUAUCUACACACACCAUGGUCUAUAAGUAUUUGAAAGUUUCCUGCAAUUCGAUCAAAAGAUAAAUACUUUCGUUAUAUUUUCAAAGUUAUGAUCGGAGAAUGUUUCUUCACUGUUACAAUUGGGAUCAAAUAAAACGACAAGAAAUAUAAUAGAAAUAAAGUUAUAAUAAGAUAGUUGAUACUUCAUAAAAAUAUAAACUUUUAGAAUGUGGCUAGAAACAUGAUUCAAUCAUUUUAAGACUUCGACGUUAAACAGUCUUGUAACUUUUAUAUAAAUUCUCAAAUUAGAUGUAAGUUAACGUAAUCACGAUAAUCGUGACUCAUUAAAGUGCUAAUGAAAUUUUAAAAUGUUUUACAUAACUCGUACAAAAGUUCCCUACGAUAAAUAUCCAAAUACUUUCGUAAGUCACUGUGCUUAUGGGCGGUAGCGUAAAUACGUAGAGACGGAGUUCACAAUGAGGAAAUCGUAUAUUAGAUUGACUAGAAAACGGAUUAACGGAAUACGAUCGAGCAUAGUUGAAUUGAAUUGAUUUUCUUUCGUAUGCGACGGGUUAAGUCUAUUAACGUCAUGCUGGUUACCGUGACUUGUUUCAUAAGUCAUAAGCCAUAAGCCACGCUCCGAUAACAUCAAAUCCAGCAAUAAAUUAGGACAAUCAUAAAAAAUGGACACCAUCGUUUGAUGAUGUUUAUACAAAGAAAAAAUCUUGUUUGUCAUUAGAAUGUGAGUUCACGAUGCUUGUAGCAGCGGAACCAGAUAUGUAGACAAGAAUGGGUUACGAUUAGAGAUUAGAAAACUCGAAUGCCACAGAUUAAUAUGGAAAUAGGUUGCAAUUAGAGAUACAGAAUUUAAAAUCCUCUUCUGGAUGUUGUGGUAAAACUGUUUGAAUGUAUCCAAAGGGGAAAUUGAUAAGUAGAUGGAGUAGAAAAUUGAUCGUUACUGAGAUAAUAAUUUUCUAGGAGACAAGGAAUGAUUAUUUUUAUUGAUUGCUGGAAAACCUAACUCUAGAUAGAAAAAUGGUAUUAUACAGAAUGAGUAGAAUAUAUGUAGACAUUUAAUUUCAUAACCCCUUGUAACCCUUGUCAGCGUUGAUGAGAUUAAUAACGCGCAAAUUGUCAUUUGGUUUUCUUUUUAUCGAUAAAAAUAGAAGAGGGAAAAAGGAUGCUAUAUAUGUAGAUCCGUAGAUAUAUAUAAUCUUCCUCUUUUGUUUAAAAAAUCUUCACUGUCAGAAAGUGCUGAAAUCGUUGGUUAAUAUUUAGUGUCAGAAACAAGAUUCAAAUAGAAAUAAUUAGUCAGAAUUUUUGCAAACUACAGCGAAUUAUUAAAUAAAUGUUUAUCCAGAUUUCAAGCAAAUAUUAGUCUCUAUUAAUAUUUAAAAAAAUCUUUAAUCACAUUAAUUUCUUGUUUUAUUAUUUUUGUUUGUUUUAUUUUUGUUAUUAAAUAAUUUUAGAAUAUUUCUACGAAACAAUCAAUUCUAUUUUUAAAAUUCUGUUUCAAGUUGGAAAAUACCAAGGCCGAAGGAGAGUCUGAUUUUAUUCAGAACCAAAACAAUGAUAUACUACUAUAUAAUUUACUGUAACGAAAGAAAGAAAAACAUAAAAUGGUAAUGAGUCGUUUAUUAAUCUCGAUGAACUUUUUAUUUAGAUUAUUUACGAAAGAACAGACAUUCUAUGAAUUAUUGACAUAGAAAACCAUUUCGCUGUAAUUGAUUCUGCGUUAUAAUUAUCGAAUAUCGGGGAAUGCGUUGAAUGUGAAACUAUGGUAGGUAGAAUGUGCUUAAGUUUCUAUCGGGAAUCGAUAUCUUCCGUUUCCAUGCUGGGAUCGUGGUGUGUCCAGAUUGAAUCUAAUGAUUCCAGAACAGGUUACGCAGCCGCAUUCAAAGGAUCGAAGCGAGGAAGACACGGCGUUGCAUUAACUUUUAUCGGUUAUUCCUCUAAAAUUAUCGCGGCCUGUAAUUUCUCAAAACGAGCUUCAACGAUUCUCCAGUCGUUUCAUUGUGAUAGAAAUACUUUGGUUAACCGUACAACCGUUGAUGAUGAAGAAAUCACGGUCUCCGGUGUGUAAAUUAAAUCGAAGAAUGUUCAGGUUGAUGCAGGAAACGAAGAUUAUUAUAAUCAUCUUGUGCUUCACCGUAUUUUUACGUAUGUUAUUUAAUUUCGAGUUACCAUCAAAAUUUAUAAGGUUUUCCUAGAUCUACAAUACCUAAUGGUAUUAAUCAAUGUUCCAUUUAGAGCGCCUAUUGUACCAUCGAGUUGGUGGAAUUUAUACUAAGGAGACCUUAUUCUGCCACGAUCAAUAAGCAACAUAGCAUAAAUGAAGACAAAUAGUUGUCACGACCGGAGGUUGAAAGUAGAAAACGUAAUACAGAAGCUGGCGCUGCUGAUCGAAAUUCAAGGAUCGAUUCUUUAACGGUCAUGUAUCUAGAUUUUAAUGUUCGGAAUGAAUAGUGGAGAGAUACAAAUAUUUGACAUUCGCAUCGAUCAAUAAGAAAAGCAACAAGUCCGCGGUAUAACUUUAUACUAAGUUUCUCAAUUUUAAAACGAAAUUACGUUUGAUAUUAUCUUUGAUAUCAAUCUUACUAAACUACAUGCACUUAAUACAUUCACUAACCUAAAAUUUAAUAUCUUUCUAAUUUACAAAUAUUUCUUCUUAACUCUCUUCUUUUUCAAACAUUCUGAUUAAUACUAUUUUUUGUUGAUAUUAAUUUUCAUUGGAUUAAUAUAAAAUUUAUGAUUUUAAUAUAAUAUAAAAUUUAAUAUUUCUUCGAUUUACGACUAUUUUUCUUAUUUUUUCUUUCUUCCUUAAAUAGUUAUACAAGAUUUUAAUUAAUAUUUUUCCUAGUAUAAUACCAUACUUGUGAUCCAUUGAAAAUCCUUCACUAAAAAAAAAAAAAAAAAAAAAUUCUCACGGUGCUCCCCAACAAUUAUCACAUUCUUUCUCUUCUAAAUUUUCUUAAUUUUCUUAUUUUCCAUUUUCACCGACAAUAUCAACCACUAAUCACACAUUCCAUUAGCAGCAGCUACCUAACAAACAUGGUACAUCAGUGAUGCAGUCACCUACUGGGAUGAAGAAACAAUCGUCUCAUUUUCUUUUAAGUGCAGCCAUGAAACGUAUUAUUACACUAAUACAGUGAAACAUGAAUACAAGUUGUUAAUAAACAAACAAUCGUGACCUGCUGGUGUAGGCUGAAUUACUCAAGAAAAUUACUCGGCACGUACGCACGACUUCUGUUUUGAUCUCGCUCCAUUCGGCACGAUAUCUAAUGUUUCCUAUUAACGUUUUACAACUCAACGCUGUAAUUAUUAUCAGUCGUGUAUUUUACAUGGUCCUACGAGUUUGCUUUCACUGCGUGCUUUCGUUUUUACUUAAUGUCCCGUUCCUUUCCCCGCUCCCCCUGUUACCAGCCGUCUCGGUAACGAUUUAUGUAUAUGUCGAUCGAUCCCCGAUUUUCUGACUCUGCCGCUUUCCUUCCGCGAUGUAUCGAACAAAUUUAUUCCUGUAGCAAUUGGUUAACGAUUGAGAAAUAAUUUUUACGUGAUACGAUUCCUGAAAUGAUUCGAUCGAAGCUUCCUAAAUGUCAGAAAAUGAUAAGCAAAUUUAAAUUUCAGGCGAUAUUGAAGAGGAUUGAUUUGGUAGAUAUCAGGAUAUUUUUGGUAAUUCAUUUCAAUAAAAAUUAUUAAAAGGUUAGAUUUAACGUUAUGUCAUAAAAUAGUCAAUUUUUUAAUAUCGUUUGAAGCAAAUUUUUCGAGAUAAGAAGAAACGUUUUGCAGUACCUAAUUAUGGGGGAAUAUUAUACUUUAUUUUAAUAAAAAUUUUUACGGCGUCAAACUUGACGUGAUGUUACGAAACCAGCUAUUUUAGUAUUCAAGAUUGGCGAAAAAAUCCAUAUAUUUAUUUUAAGAUUCUUGGAACUUGGAAACUGGAAUAAAGUGGCGUGCCGAUCAAUUUAGAAAUUGCAAAAAAUUUGAAUUAAUACUCUAAUUGAUUCAGAGUUCUUGAAAGAGAAAGAGCUUCGAUGUAGAGGCGUUUUAAAAGCAUUUGAUCCUACUUUGAUUUAUUUGAAAUUCUUGGAGCAUGGGCAACGAUAUAAUUUGUCAAGCGUAUAAUUUAUGUACAAUUUAAAGAGCAAUAUAUAUUAUAUUUUUUCAUAGUCCAUUGGACAUAAUGGUUCGACUUGCGAAAUUUGAUUCGUAAUAAGCAUAUGACAAAUUUCGCUAUAAAAGUCUGCGUGUUAGAAACGUAUGGAUAACAACUGUCGAUUAAUAAGUUACAACCGUGAAACGACACUAUAUCACAAAUGCUACAGACAAGAAUAAAGGAUAAAGUCUACUGUA